AGGACCAUGACGUAUUUAUGAGCUGUUAAUGGACACACCUGAAAAAUGGAAUUAGCAUCAGUCUUCUAUUUCAGAGACUGAUGUGUGUUCUGAGCUGUGGCCACAGGCUGCAAGCAGAGAUGACUUGGAAAACCCUCGGAGUUAUGGGAAGAUGUCCAUCUGUUGAUAAUAUAAAUGUCAAAUUGUUGGCCGCUGUCACUGGAAGGCCCAUAUGCCCCAGAGAGGACAAGCAGCUCCUUAGGUUCCCUCUUUCAGAAGAUACAUAGUUUCCUCUAUGAUAAAGACACCUGGACUACAAGUGACAAAAGAAAAUGCAAUAGAACUUUAUCAAAAUUAAACACGUUUGCGUUUCAAAGGCCAUCUUCGAUAAAGAGAAGCAAUGAUCCACAGAAGAGAGGAAAACAUUUGCCAAUUAUGUACCUGAUAUUUUAGAUAUUUGUCAGCUGCAAUAUGUGCAUGAGUUUUACAACUCAGUUGUCCAAGGAGAAAUAAUCCAGUUUUUUACAAAGGGGCAAAAGACCUGAAUAGACAUUUCUGCAAAGAAUAUGUACAAACGGCCGAGAAGCAGCAGAAAAGAGGUUAAGCGCCAAUAGCCAUCAGGGCCAGGCAAGGCUUAACUACAGUGAGAACCUGCUUUGCAAUGACCAAGAUGGUUAUGAUGUAAAAAGACACAGUAGCAACUGAUGGUGGGGAUGUGGAGAAGUCAGCACACUCAUAUGUUGCUGGUGGAGAUGUCACAUGGUGCCUCUGCUUUGGAAGCCAGUCUGGCAAUUUCUGAAAAGGUUAAACAUAGAUUUACCCUAAGACCCAGCAGUUCCACUCCUAAGUGUAUACUUAAGUGGGAGCAGAUGCUUAUGCAAAACCUUGUGCAUGGGUGUUCACGGUAGCAUUAUUUGUUACACCUCCAAAUAGAAACAAACUGUAUGCCUGUCGGUAGAUGAAAGGAUAAAUGCAGCGUGACCUGUCCAUACAAAGUAAUAGCAUUCAGCUGCAAGAAAGCAUUCAGUACUGGUACAGGGUACUACAGGGAUGGGCCCUGAAAACAUUAAGCUCAGUGAAAGGAACUCGUCCAAAGGAUUGCACAUUGUGUGGUCCACUCACCUGCAAUAUUCAGCAUAGGCGAAUCCAUAGAGAUGCCAAGCAGAUUAGUGGUUGCCAGGGCUUGGGGUGGGGAGGGAGUGAGACAUAGCACGUAACUGAUGAGUGGAUGGGAACUAGGGUUUCCUUAGGGGGCUGAAAAUGUUCUAAGAUUAAGUUUGGUCAUGGUUGCACAACUUCUACUAAAGUACUGGAAACGGUUGAACUGGAUGCUUUAAAUAGGUACAUUUCCCAUUAUGUGAAUGCUGGCACAAUUAAGUCACUCAAACAAAAAAAGGCAAAUGGCGUGCAGUCUUGCUUCCUUGUUUCUCUUUGGUCCCUCAUCACAUUAGCAGUGUCCCCAACCAGACUCUUUCCCCAAGGUCAUGCUCUGCUCACUCUUGGACCAUUUCUCUGUCCCUGUUGAUGCUCCUCCCUCCUGCCUUCAAGCCGGGGAUUCCUUUGAUGGUCCUGGUGAAUAUCAGAGCUAAGAAGCAUAUGGAGGUGGCUUUAUUCUUUCCUUGUUUUCUUUUAAAGGAACCGCGUAAUUAUACCCUGCUUGCCUCCCUGGUGACCUCCUCUUUCGAUUUCCAAAAACCUCUGGUGAAAGUAAAACUCUAAAUCUGGACAGUUUCUUUUUAAUGGUUGUUUUGGGGAUUAGGGAUGCAGAAAACCUCUCAGAAUUCACAGGAAUUGUAACUUCUGCUAGCAAGUAGCUUUUGGCAUGUGUGAAGAAAAUGCAAAUAACCUUGAACCCGAUUAUGUUUCCAAGCCUGUGAGGCUUUUGAGAAGUCCACUGGGUUUAUUUAUUGUUUUUAGUCUUUUGCUAAGAAUGAGGAUUACUUUUGUCUCUUCUCUUGCCCAGGAAAACAUUUCAUAAACUUUAGAUUUAAACCCAAUCUUCUUAUUUUUGUGAAGUCAGUUGUUAUUCCAAAGUUUUGUUCCCAACUGCUCACAUCCUGAGAGAAAUCACUCUGCUUAGUCCCACAGGAGACAUUAUUUGUAUUACAAAACAAAUGUGGUCAUGUAUAAUGAGACGUGAAAGUGCCAGGCCUGCUGCUGUGCCUCAGUACUGCUCAGGGCAUUCUUUUCCCAAAGAAUUUUCCGUCUGGAAACAAAUUAGGAUGAAAAGCCUACUCAGUGAGAGUAUGGAAUCAUAUCAAAGAAAGGACUCAGACUGUCGGAGAGUUGAUGACACACAGCAAUUCACUUCCAGACUAGAGACAUAUUAGGCCAAUCUCUUUCCAACUUCUCAAUCCCGUAACUUUUAUAAUUGCAACCACAUUUGCAGUUAAAACACUUUUGCCUAAUUUACGAAGAGGGUUAUUAGAGCGGGAUAAAAAAAGAAAAAUAUAUACAUAAUUAUACGUGUAUAAUUUUUUUAAAAAGAAUUUUUAACAGCUAAUAUAUUUACAUGGUUGAAAAACUUAAAACUGUGCAAAUAGGAAUAGAAGAAAUAGAGUGAAAAUUCUCUUCCUGCCUCUGUUUCCCCCCAGUUUGCAUUUUCGAAGACAAGCAGUUUAGCUGGUCUUCUGUUUCUGGUAUAUGCUUCAAGAAAUAUUCUGUAAAUUUGGAAGCAAAUAUGUAUAUUUGGAAUAAAAAAUAUGAAAUAAAUAUAUAUAUAUGAACUGUAUAUAUGAGAUAAGAACAAAUAUGUAUAUAUGAAAAACUAUGUUUAUAUAUCAUCUUUUUACAAAUGCUAAUGACUAUAUAGUCUACUUUGUACAAAAAAACAGUAUAUAUAUAUUUUUUUUCACCUACUCUUGGAGAUGUCUAUUUUUCCACCAUGGGAUAGUUCUUCAGAGAUCAAAGUAAGUUUAAUAUACUUUACAGUGUUUUUAUUAAAUUUGGUUUUUGU
rnacentral:lncRNA from 1 species